rnacentral:rRNA from 1 species
AGUGAACGCUGGCGGCAGGCCUAACACAUGCAAGUCGAGCGGCAGCGCGGGGGCAACCCUGGCGGCGAGCGGCGGACGGGUGAGGAAUGCGUCGGAAUCUGCCUCUUUGUGGGGGAUAACGUAGGGAAACUUACGCUAAUACCGCAUACGACCUACGGGUGAAAGUGGGGGACCUUCGGGCCUCACGCAGAGAGAUGAGCCGACGCCGGAUUAGCUAGUUGGCGGGGUAAAGGCCCACCAAGGCGACGAUCCGUAGCUGGUCUGAGAGGAUGAUCAGCCACACUGGAACUGAGACACGGUCCAGACUCCUACGGGAGGCAGCAGUGGGGAAUAUUGGACAAUGGGCGCAAGCCUGAUCCAGCCAUGCCGCGUGUGUGAAGAAGGCCUUCGGGUUGUAAAGCACUUUUGUCCGGAAAGAAAAGCUUCCGAUUAAUACUCGGGAGUCAUGACGGUACCGGAAGAAUAAGCACCGGCUAACUUCGUGCCAGCAGCCGCAGUAACAC